rnacentral:lncRNA from 1 species
AAUUAGAUCCAAUCCCAUUAGGUCAAAGAUAACUGGUCUAGUCUAGCUCAAACACUUUGAACUAAAUCAAUUUAGAAACUUAGAUUAAUAUAAUGUGCUAGCAUAUCAAAUUAACCUUUAAAAUUUAUAUUAAAUCUUAAUUAGAUUAGAUCAAAAUUAAAUCUCAAAAUAUGUGAUAUAUUGAAUUCUAAAUCUAGCCAGC